rnacentral:rRNA from 1 species
AGUGAACGCUGGCGGCGUGCUUAACACAUGCAGGUCGAACGAGAACGGAUUAUAGCUUGCUAUAAUUGUCAGCUAAGUGGCGCACGGGUGAGUAAUGUAUAGGUAAUAUGCCUCUUACUAAGGGAUAACAAAUGGAAACGUUUGCUAAUACCUUAUACUCCUUAUUAACAGAAGUUAAUAAGGGAAAGAUUUAUUGGUAAGAGAUUAGCCUGUAUUGUAUCAGUUAGUUGGUGGGGUAAUGGCUUACCAAGACUAUGACACAUAACUGGUUUGAGAGGAUGAUCAGUCACACUGGAACUGAGACACGGUCCAGAAUCCUACUGGAGGCAGCAGUGGGGAAUAUUGCACAAUGGACGAAAGUCUGAUGCAGCAACGCCGCGUGGAGGAUGACACAUUUCGGUGCGUAAACUCCUUUUAUAUGAGAGGAUAAUGACGGUAUUAUAUGAAUAAGCACCGGCUAACUCUGUGCCAGCCGCCGCGGUAAGAC